rnacentral:tRNA from 1 species
GGCCCUUUAGCUCAGUGGUUAGAGCUAGCGGCUCAUAACCGCUUGGUCGUCGGUUCAAAUCCGGCAAGGGCCACCA